AAAUAAUAUAAAUAGAAAGAUAGGUGUAUAGAAAAGAUAUUCAUAUUUAAUUUAUAGUAGUUGUGAAUGGGGUAAAUUUAGAUUGUAAUUUGUGAGAAUAUUUAUGGAUAUGCAGUGGUUUGAAAUAAUAGUUAUGUUUGCCUUUUGUAUAAUGAUUUAAAGAGGUUAAGAUAAUGUUAUUAUAAACACGAAAAUCUGUGAUUUUAUGUUAUUGAAGGGUUUGCUGUUGAAAUAUCAUAAUUAAAGUAACUUAUGAAAUUAUAUGUUAAUCAAACAGAUAGAUAUCUUGUAUUUGGUUGUUAAAUGUUAAUAAAACUGAAUUUAGGGACAGCUUGAAUUUAAAGUUAAGAAUCACCCAAAAAUCAAAGUUAAAUUUGGAUUUUAAUAUUAGUAUUGGAAAGUGGGUUUUUGAAAUCAAAAUAAAAGUAUGUUAAAAUGAGUACAUUAGUGGAAAUAGUUAGUUUUUAGUAUUAAAAGAUUAACAAAAAUAAAGUGUAGAGUCUUAUUAAGUAAUUCGGCAAAAAUAAAAUCUGGUUGUUUACUAAAAACAAAGCUUUUAGAUAUUUAUUAGAAGUCUGGCCUGCUCUAUGCAAAUUGUGAAUAGCGGUAUUUACUAUAAGGUAGCGUAAUAAUUUGUCUAUUAAUUGUAGUCUAGUGAAUGGUAUAGCAGAUUUAAACUUUCUUAGUAUGAUUUUGGAAAUUUUUUAGUUGUGAAAAUACAAUUAUAAAAAAAUUAGAAAAAAAGACCCUAGGUGGUUUAGUUAAAUAUAUAAUAUAUUUUGUGUAUUAGCUUUUGCUGGGGUAGUGACUAUUGAUUUAUUGUAAAAAUUAUAGGGGUACAUUAUAAAGAGAGUAUUUAUUUUAUUUUAAGUCCUAUUUAUAGCGGGUAAAAACCAACCCUAGGGAUAACAGCGCAAUUAACUAGAGGAGUUCAUAUUUAUUAGUUAGAUUACGACCUCGAUGUCGACUUAGGGAUAAGGGAUGGUGUAGUUGCUAUCUUUGUUUGUUUGUUCACCAAAUAGUAUCCUACGUGAGUUGGGUUUAGAACGGGGUAACCUAGUUUGGAUUUUUUCUGUUAAUAUUUUUAUUUAUUUAGUACGAAAGGAAUGAUGAAUUAGUUUGAAUAAUU
rnacentral:rRNA from 1 species